rnacentral:rRNA from 1 species
UGGGGAAUCUUGCGCAAUGGGCGAAAGCCUGACGCAGCGACGCCGCGUGCGGGAGGAAGCUCUUCGGGGUGUAAACCGCUGUCGGGGGGGAAGAACGGGCGUGGGAGGCAAUGCCUGCGUUUUGACGGUACCCCCAGAGGAAGCACCGGCUAACUCUGUGCCAGCAGCCGCGGUAAUACAGAGGGUGCGAGCGUUGUUCGGAAUUACUGGGCGUAAAGCGCGCGCAGGCGGCCUUUUAAGUCUGUCGGUGAAAUGCCGGGGCUCAACCCCGUGCCCGCCGGAGAUACUGGGAGGCUGGAGACGAGUAGAGGCAAGCGGAAUUCCGGGUGUAGCGGUGGAAUGCGUAGAGAUCCGGAAGAACACCGGAGGCGAAGGCGGCUUGCUGGACCAACACUGACACUGAGGAGCGAAAGCCAGGGGAGCAAACGG